rnacentral:lncRNA from 1 species
UAGAUAUAUUAUUAUAUAAUAAUUUAUUAUAUAAUUUACUAUUUAUUUUUAUAAAAUGUAAAAUAUAUAAAUAAAUGUUAAAUAAUUUAGACUAUUGGUAUUAGAUAUAAAUGUUAAUUUUAUAAUAUUGAGCAUUCACAUAUAAAUUGUACAUUAAAAAAAAAAAAAAGAUUGAUGCAGCUUAAGUUAAUUUUAUAUUUGACGAAAGUUAAUUGCGAGAAUUACAAGCAAUGAUUUCUCUUAUCAUUCACUAACUACUGGAGGAUUACGAUACCUACUAAAAAUUAUUCUACUAACUAAUAGAGGAUUACCGUGCCUACUAAAAAUUUUUGAUAUACUUAUUGCACCCUUUAUUAUUUCUCAACUCCUUUGUAAGGACUGAGAUUUUUGCAGUGUAGCUAAACUCUCAGUUGACGAUGUUUUUGUGUGUAAUUUACUUACAAAAGCACUCGUCAAGUUUCGGGCGAAAUCGAGUUAAA